rnacentral:rRNA from 1 species
GCUCAGAAUGAACGCGGCGGCGUGCUUAACACAUGCAAGUCGAACGGGACUGGGGGGGCAACUCCCCAGUUGAGUGGCGGACGGGUGAGUAACACGUGGGUAACCUGCCCGGAAGUGGGGAAUACCUCGGGGAAACUCGAGCUAAUACCGCAUGACAUCUUCGGGACGAGAGUUCUGUUGAUCAAAGCGGGGUCGCAAGAUCUCGCGCUACCGGAUGGGCCCGCGCCCGAUUAGCUAGUUGGUGAGGUAACGGCCCACCAAGGCUUCGAUCGGUAGCCGGCCUGAGAGGGCGAUCGGCCACACCGGAACUGAGACACGGUCCGGACUCCUACGGGAGGCAGCAGUGGGGAAUCUUGCGCAAUGGGCGAAAGCCUGACGCAGCAACGCCGCGUGGAGGAUGAAGGCCCUUGGGUUGUAAACUCCUGUCGGCUGGGAAGAAAUCGCGCGGGGCUCAUACCUCCGCGCGUUGACUGUACCAGCAAAGGAAGCCCCGGCUAACUCUGUGCCAGCAGCCGCGGUAAUACAGAGGGGGCUAGCGUUAUUCGGAAUUAUUGGGCGUAAAGGGCGCGUAGGCGGCCACGCGUGUCUUUCGUGAAAUCCCUCGGCUUAACUGAGGACGUGCGGAAGAAACUGCGAGGCUCGAGUCCGGGAGAGGGGGGUGGAAUUCCCAGUGUAGCGGUGAAAUGCGUAGAUAUUGGGAGGAACACCGGUGGCGAAGGCGGCCCCCUGGACCGGUACUGACGCUGAUGCGCGAAAGCGUGGGUAGCAAACGGGAUUAGAUACCCCGGUAGUCCACGCCGUAAACGAUGGGCACUUGGUGUCGCGGGUAUCGACCCCUGCGGUGCCGAAGCUAACGCAUUAAGUGCCCCG